rnacentral:rRNA from 1 species
UACGUAGGGUGCGAGCGUUGUCCGGAAUUAUUGGGCGUAAAGAGCUCGUAGGCGGUUUGUCGCGUCUGCCGUGAAAGUCCGGGGCUCAACUCCGGAUCUGCGGUGGGUACGGGCAGACUAGAGUGAUGUAGGGGAGACUGGAAUUCCUGGUGUAGCGGUGGAAUGCGCAGAUAUCAGGAGGAACACCGGUGGCGAAGGCGGGUCUCUGGGCAGUAACUGACGCUGAGGAGCGAAAGCGUGGGGAGCAAACAGG